GACUGGUUAAUAUAAUUUUAUCGUGGAAUCCGCCGACCUCAUAUAAAACAGGUAAAAAUAUAACAGAGCGGACGAGUUGACUCGGUAUCUGUUCAGGAAGAAGACUCAUAAGCUUCGUUUCGUCGUCUUCUCCGUAUCUCUGAUCGCUUUCGCUUUUACUUCAUAGACGAUGGAGACUGAGACACAACUUGUGGCUGAUCCCAUUGCUCUCAACGAAAAGAAGGUUGCCAUGGCUUUAGAUGAUCUCAUCAAGUUGUCAAAGAGAAACACCAAAGGGAACAAGGGCAGAAGUUCAAGGAGACCCAAGAACAAAAACCGAAACUUUAAUGGUGCUGCGAGAAAUGGUAAUCCCUCUAAAGAGAAGCAUUACGUGAACUCACUUUCUGGAGUUAGACAGGGUGCUGUUGAGAAGAGAAGGUCUAACUUCAAGGGAAAUCAGUUUCCUAUUGCAACAAACGUUGCUUGUAAAGCUGCUACUGUUGCUCCACUCCGUGUCCGUAGAAGAGCUUUCAAUGCUGGAAGGAUGGCUAGUGCAAAUCAGUCAAGGUCAUCUCUUGGUGGGUUGAUCUGGAAAUACCUCAAAGAGCUUGCACUUUUUCUGAGUAGUUUCUUCGAAAUGGGAGUUGUGUUGAUGUCUGGGGAGCCUCUAAGACUGGGAAGUGAAGUGUUGCAUUGCUUAGUAUAAAAUGGAUAUUUGCCAUGUGCUGCUUGGAUUUCGCCUUAGAUCCUUCUGUUGUAUCAGAUCAUUUUUAUCUGUUGGUGCCACUUGCCAGUUACCGGCUGUUUCUUCAAGCUGUCCUGUAAGGUUCUCUCUAUUGUCUUCUCGGUUCUCAGCAAUCAUUCUUCUUUUUUUUUUUUUUUUAAAUGCAGGCUCCUUGCUCCACCAGUCCAGAGUAGAUCUAGAUUCAUCACAAAGAGGCAUGAGAUGGAUCAGAAAGUAGAAAAUGGAGGAGGGAAGUGGAAGACACUAGACUCUCGGUUUGCAAUCAUGAAAGAGCAGAGGAAGAAUAGUUCGUGCAACAAUGGCGUUGGACUGCAUGUUCCAAGGUUGCCACCAUGGGCUAGAGCCAGAAGAUUUUAGUUACUAAGCAAACCACAAAGCAUUUAUACGCGCUCCCUACACUCUUAGAUUUUGUCUUUGGGAUUUAUAUUCUUGUUAAGCACACCAGAUAAUGCAGUUCCUUUGUGACUUGCUUACAUAUCUUUUCAAAAUGCAUCCAAGAUAUAAAUAAAUAUCGUUUGAAAUC